rnacentral:misc_RNA from 1 species
CGCAAUCGUGUCGUCUAGUUUCAUCAACAGCGUGACAAACGCAGGAUUUUUCUGUUUACAUUCGGCCGAUACCUUAGGCCUUUUGGCCCCGAUACUACAUUUAUUGCAAGAUAUCUUUUAGCCGAGAUCGUGAAGGUAUUUCAACGAUCAAUUGUCCAUUGUGUUGGUAAAUCUCGAUACUCGCUUCUAUAUACGUCAGUCGUAUCUGAUUACGUCGCUAAUGAAAUUUCAAAAUGUUUAAUAUCGCACGGACGAUAUAACAUAUUGGCGAAGGAUUUCUAUAAACGUUCAAAUACUUUCGCGAGCCAUUGUACGUCACUGGAGGAAGAAUAAUGCCAUCCGGAUACGGCGCUAAAUGGAGAUGUACGCGAAAAAGUAGGAAAUCACGAGGCGAGAAAAGCGAAGGACUUGUUAUAGGCGGAACACUCAAAUAUAGUGUAUCGCGGUUCUAAAUCGAUCCGCUCAUUAUUUGUUCAUCUGGAUCGUUCAGGAAUAAAUCUUCUUUCAAGUUCAUUCAUGUUAAGCUUACAUCUAUAUCCUACUAUAUAUAAUCGUUGCGGGCUGAGAAAAAUGUAAAUUCGAUCGAACAGAGAACGUCGGAUCUUCUUUUCACGCGACUUUAUUUAAAGAAGCUGCAAUCGCGGCUGCAACGUAAAAAGUAUCGAAAGAGAAACGAGUCGAGUGCUUGAGUCAUCGGAGUUACACUCUCAAAAAAAAAAAAAAAA